CAAAUGUGCUCAAGUUCACUAAUACUGUGCUUGGUGCACAGCCUCUGGGAUAAGCCAGUAAGUUGAGAAAAGAACAAAACCCCCGGUGGGAUGGUUUUGCAUCCGCAUAUAAAUCUAGAAUUCAUCUCUGCAUACGAAUUGGCUUGCCCCUGAGUAUGAGAUGCUGAGGAUGGACCAAAUGAAAGAAUUCAUACCAGUUGGAGCAGGAAACAAGGAGGAGAAAAUGGACUUUCAGCUACAGCAUGGCCUGAGUGUGGGUAUUUCCAUGGAAAUUCCCCCCACCCUCUCUUUCUUCACCUGUUUGAGGAGAACAAGGAUGGAAACUUUACUUCUGCAGAAAAAAGGUAAGGGGGAUUUCCAUCAUUGCAAACAGGGUCAUUUGGGAUGAAUAGGGCAAGCUGGAUAAAUAUCCAUGGCAUCAGGACCCUAGGGAGGAUUUCUGGGGCUGGUAAGAUUUUACUAUUUGUUUGUUUUUUUGUUCUAUCUGUGGAAACUGUCAAACGAUAAACUUUGUCAAAAUGUUUGUGUAAUGAGGCAGAGUAAAUAAGUGAAUAUAGUCUGUGUAUAGCAAAGUUGGGGGAAAGUAUUAUUCCUCUCUAGAGAGGUCUAAUUAUAGCAAUGAAUUAUAUUUUAUAUACAGACCUUCCUAAAUUAAAAAAAUUAUUUUUUAAUUGGAGUAUAAUUGCUUUAUAAUGUUGUAUUAGUUUCUGCUGUACAAUGAAGUGAAUCAGUUAUGUGUGUGUAUAUAUCCCAUCCUUUUGAGCCUCCCUCUUCCCUCACCUCUCCAUUCCACCCCUCUAGGUCUUCACAGGUCACUGAACUGAGCUCCCUGUGCUGUAUAUGCUGAUCUUCUUUGUUCUUGGUUCAAAUGUAAAUUGAUGGUCAGCAUAUCAUUGAUUAUAUCUGAAGAGCUUCAAAGAGGAUCUCAGAUUGGUGACCUCUGGGUUUGUAUGACCUCUAUGAGCCUCAGGUUGUCUUUCUGCAAAUUGGGCUGGAAGAUGAUCAGAGGCUGUGGGAAGUGGUUCUUUGUUUGAAGCUGGUCUUGAUGCUCUUCCUGAUCUCAAAAUGCAAAAAGAAAAAACAAAAUUGUUUUUAUGAGAAAUAAGAACUGGCUAUUUUCCCGAUGAGGCUGAGGAACUUGUCUCCUAGUAGAUGAGAAUCCGUAAGAGAUACUAAAAAGCUUCCUUCACUCACAUGUUUAUGAACAAAGUAUCUGCUUAGCAUGAUUAAGUACGAGUCUCUGGGCUCAGUAUGCCAAGAAGUACGAUGCUGUGCAACGUGGCUGCUGUAAGGUGGAGAUGCUCCUCAGCCUGAUUUAUGGAGCCUCCAGAUGGGAGCAUGGACCGCUGAGCUAGUUACGGGGUUUGGAAGGAGAGUGCGUCCCCUCC
rnacentral:lncRNA from 1 species